rnacentral:tRNA from 1 species
GCCUCCGUAGCUCAGUGGUAGAGCGAUCGCCUUGUAAGCGAUAGGUCGCGAGUUCAAUCCUCGCCGGAGGCU